UUAAAAACCUACAAGCAU
rnacentral:tRNA from 1 species